UCACUGCUGUGGACUGUAGUUGAUAAUGUCUCUGUUAAAUUCACGUCGAGGCCAUCCAAAUCAAGAGAAAUAUAGACACUGGAAAUCUGAUCAAAAGAUGAUGGAGGCUGAACACCAGAGGUCAGAAUUUGGUGGGAGAAGCCUUUCUCAACAGGCUGGUGGCCUUAAGGAGCGAGUGACGUCCUUUGAUUUCAAGGAAGAUCAGUUCAAAGACCUUACAGACCAACAUGAAAACUGUCGCCGGCCCACUACCGUGCCCCAAUAUCCUGGUAUUCAAGGACAUGGAAGUUGUACUAGCUUUUAUCUUCAGGGAUCUCAGAAAACUAUUAACACACACUGCAAAAGCAAGAAGGAAUAUUUAGAGGACUUUGCCCUCCAUUUUCCAUACAGAUUAGCUUGGCUAUCUUCAAGCCCCACAAUGUCAAGAACUAGACCAUGGGACCCUCAGAAGAUGAUGGGCCACCUUCGAGAUAAGCUACCCCUUCAGAAAAGUCUACAGCCCACAAGGUCAAUUCCAAGCAAAGGGACUCACGUUCUGGUGACCUCGGUGAUACCUCCAAGAAGUACCCACAUUCCUCCUCUGAGAAGCCCUUUAGAGGACAGGUUACUUAGCACCCGCUUUCCAAAGCAAAAAGCCCGACUGCAGAAUUUUCUGGGCUACCAAAUGUAUGGGUGGAUCACGGGGAGAACAGAUGCAUCAGGCGCCCAAGUGUCACGCAUGGUGGUGGAAUUUAACAACAUCAACUUCCCAGCCUCAACUACUGUUCAUUCAUCAUGAUGCCUGAUUCUGCUAGUUCUUAAUCUCGGUCACUGGGCAUUCAGCAGUGGAGCUCUCCGUCCAGGGAAGAGACCUCCCUUAGCAAUAUUACUUACCAUCGUGGGCCAAUAGUUUCCUUCCAGCGGAGCUGAGUGGACUGAUGGCCAGAGGCUGUCAGGAGUAUAGUAGCAAUCUGUUUGGUCAGUCUUUAAUAGUGCCACCACCUCAACCCAGAAGCUGUUACUGUCACUGGAAAUAUGUGAUUCCAAUAAACAUUGAUGACUCAAAACCA
rnacentral:lncRNA from 1 species